CUCCUCUGGCUCAUCUCUUUCUCUACCCCCUCCAAGCGCUGGUUCAGCUGGUUCCUCUGCAGCAGGCCGGCCAACUGGUACUGGGAAAAGUCUCCUGAGUGCUAACAAAAAGAGGAGUCUGUGUUAAGAGGAGCAGACGGGAGGCAGGCUGGCAAACUCCUCAGAGUUGAUGUCCACUGAGUUGGGGUCUUCAUAAAAAUCUUCCUGAAACAUGACGAGCAACGUGGCUUCAAAUAUCAAUCAUCAAACAGGGCAUUCAUAUGAAGAGAAGCUGAGUGAUACAGACAACCAAGAUAAGAACGUAGUAAUAAUGUGGUGAUUUUUUUUCAUACUUUCAGAAGACAAUGACAUGUAUAGUUUUAUGAAAUAAUCAUUUGUAGAGACGACAUAACAGCCAAACAGAGGCUGCUGAUUUCACUUCACUGUACCGCUUUACUGUGAUCGAGCCUGUGAUAUCAAGUAACUAUGAAAACAUAAAUACCACAUAUCUUACCAUUAAUAUUAUACUGGAAUAUCCGCCCCAGGUCGAUAACAAAGCAUUUACAGAUGUGUUAUUUGGUGGUGGUGCUAUACAAUUUGUGCAUAUCAUAGUUUUACCUGAUACAUGUCAUGACUGCCCAUCUCUGUCUCUUCCUCCUCCUCUGAACUGCAAGGAGAGGGGGACACAUUAAAAUGAUUAUAGUACCAGAA